AGUAGGAGACUUGGAUCUAGGGAAAAGAGCCUGUCGGGAUCGGUAUCCAAUUUGCAAGCAACCAAGGUAUGCCAAGAUCUGUAGCCAGAGGAACAAUCCGAGUCACGCUUUCGUUCAGAUUCGAUGUCGCAGAACAUGUGGACUUUGCGGAUGAGGUAAACUGUGAGCUCGUCUCAAGACAAGAAAGGCUUGGUGUCAUGUUAUGAAUAGCUGAAAUGUAAUCAGCACUUCGCGUAGCCAUUUGGAUAAAAAGAAUACUUAUCAUCUAAAAUAUUUCUUUAAGUUGCUCUAGGAAAACUAGUUUGAAUUCUAUUAAAGUACAUUACCAUUUACA